CUACUUGGAAUAGCUCCAUUUCCUCACCAUUUGGUCUUUGAUUCAUGCACAGAUAAUUGCCGCCAUCUUUCUCAGUCAGUCUCAGAAUUCUCAAAGUGCCAUUGGGGAAAGCAGUGAUGUGUCUUUGUGGACUGAGAAAAAAUAGAAAAUAAAUUGUUUACACUUUUAUAUGACAGUUAGACAUAGUUUACUUAUGAUUAAAUGGGUUCACAAAACUCGUAGUUGCAGUAAUUUUAGCCCUUGUCAUAAUAAUGACUAAAGAAAUUAUUGUUAUCAAAAAAGCAUUUGAAACAAACAAAUUGUUCUUUUGUUCACACUUAUUCACUGUAUUGUCUAGAUCAGCAGCGGUUGUUUGGGGUUUCUAGACUGAGAAAGAUGCUUAUUUAAUCUACACCACACUUUGUUAGAAGUGAUGUAGUUGGCCUGCUGUGAGUUUGCGAGAGAACACACUGUGGUAAUAGUGUGGGACAAUAAUUGCUCAGAAGAGAAAAGUAAAACUUUUAAGGCUCGUUUACAAGACAACGAUGUAGUAAAAAUACCCCAAAAACAUUUAAGUUUCACCGAAACACACAAUGUCAAUGUUAAACUGAUCUUUAUACACACAGAUGUGUGAAAACCAGUAAAAUACUGUAUUAUGGAUGCCAGGUCAGUAAUUGAUGUUAACAAAGAAAUGACAUGACGUCACAGUAUUUACAAAUUUGUGUUUUCACAGUUUACACAGAGACAAUAUCAGCAUCGUUUAAAAACAAAUAGUACUUUGAAACCUGUUUUGAAAGUGUUUUCAGUAUCCAAAACAGCCAGUGUUUUGUAAACAAAUACAUACACUGUAACGAAUUGCUGUAAAAACUACAGCGUUAUUUUACAGAAGCUGACUGUUUUUUAAAUAAUACAGAAUAUUGCUGUAAAUGCAAUGCAUUCUGGGGUCACGUGACGGAUUAACUCAAAUGUACAGAACAUUGCUGUAAAUUUCAAAUCUACAAUGGCGGGAUGAUCUUCAACAGUCGAGAUUGGGGUAGUGCGCAAAAUGAGUGAUUCACACCUGUGGUAAGUCAUUUAUUACGUUUUUUUCCAUAUUUGGUAACUAUCAUACUGGUAACUUUAUAUAGAGCUAUCUACAUUCGCGUUUAACAUUGGUAGCCCCGGAUUCAACCUCCAUCCGCGGGGACCGAAGGAGUCUUGCGCAGGGUUUCAGCAGCGCCGUCGCGGUAAGAUUUCAAACAUUCUCCGUCGCUAUAGCACCUGAGGACAGAAGUUGUUCAUGUUAUUUAGAGUUUUUGUACAAAUCAGGAGCGAAGUCGGUAUGUGACGAGCUACAGUUCAUUGUAUUAGUAAGUUGACGGUUGUUUUUUUAAUGUUGAACAUCGCGCCCGCCGUAGACACGGUAAAAAUUACAUGCUUCGACAGUUGGGAUACCACACUCGGUCGUGAUUAUUUUGUGGUGUAAUUCAAAUUUGCAAAUGCAGUUACUCGUAAAUCGAGAGACCAAAUUAAAACGAGUCACCAAAGCUUGCGGUUUGUCGUUGUUCACGGAGGAUAGCCCGGUAAAGUGAUUAAUGUACGUUUCCAGCUAGAUAUACAGUAUAUGUAAGAGAGGCCAGAUGAGAGCUGUAGCAAAAGACGUUAGCGACACCCUCAUCGUUAGAGCAGGACUGUCUCCCAGAUAGGACCGUUGGAGGAUGGGAGUGAGACGGUCCGUUACAAAAUACUAGUGUGACAAUUUCUUGACCGUGACAUCCCUAACGUUAGUUGGAUUACAUUUCUGUAUAAGUACGGUUUUAAGUGUAAAUUACUCUGUGUAAUUUGCUUAGAGUUUGUUUGUAUAGUCACUUAAGUACUAAAAUGUAGUUUAAAUGUAAAAAGCUUAAAGAUAAAAUUGUAUAGUAACUAUUAACUAUUGUCAUGUGUGGUAUUGUUUGUUUUAAGACACACUUUCCCAUGCAGGCCACUGGAUGCUGACUACUGAAGGUUAGGUUGUGUGUGACUGUGACGUGCUCAGCACAGCUUCAUGUCUGGCCUUCCCACUCUGUUCAUAGCACGUUACAUGUUCAAUCUUGAGUACCAGGAUGGGGCAGCGUGUAUCUUGGAGUCCACUGAAAGAUAUUAAUCCAGAGAGUGGAACAAGAAGAAGCGUCAUCUAAAAUGCCAGGAUACAGAAGAAACAGGUUGCAGUGAACCCACAUGUUGCCGCUCUACACAAUGAUGAAUUUUCAUUGUAAUCGAUGAAAAUUCUAGCUACUUGUUGUGCUCUGAUGGAUCAAGAUGUGGACCGUUUUACAGACUCACUUGGGCCUUGUUUUG